rnacentral:rRNA from 1 species
CACGUAGGGGACGAGCGUUGUCCGGAUUCAUUGGGCGUAAAGCGCGCGCAGGCGGUCCUUUAAGUCUGAUGUGAAAGCCCACGGCUCAACCGUGGAGGGUCAUUGGAAACUGGGGGACUUGAGUGCAGAAGAGGAAAGCGGAAUUCCACGUGUAGCGGUGAAAUGCGUAGAGAUGUGGAGGAACACCAGUGGCGAAGGCGGCUUUCUGGUCUGUAACUGACGCUGAGGCGCGAAAGCGUGGGGAGCAAACAGG